rnacentral:lncRNA from 1 species
ACGCGAGGUCCCGGCCGCCCUCCAGGCCUCCGCUCCAGCGCUUUUUGGUGACACGGCACUCGCGGAUUCAAGACCGAUCCGCGAGAAAAAAGCAAAGACCGUAAUCCUUGCUGGUCUGCGCAUGCGCCAGAGAGCGUUGCGAUGAGUUUUGUGGAAGGUCAAAACUCGGGUGUGAAGGAAAAAAAAGCGGAAGACAGCGCAGGUUCCAGUUCAGCUGUGUCAAGGUCGAAACCGUGUGCGCAGAAAGAGUCACACACUGGACGACGACGGAAGCGUUCCGCCGUUCGAAGAGAAGAUGUCCCGCAGAAAGUUGGCUCUUUGUCUUCGCAACCUGCCGGUUCGUCUCUUUCCACGACUGGCUGAGAAAAGGGGACAGGCAGCCUAGCCCAUGUCUGUGCCGCCCCUCUGCUGAAGUUGCCGGCAGCUGCGCUUUUCGCGCUAGAUCCUAGGAAAAGAAGGGGGGUGUAGCGGCAAAGGGCGCCGAGAAUGGCCGCGAAAAAUUGGGUCCGUUCUCUUGAAACAUGUGGAGAAACAGCUGGAAAACGCCUCAGCAGUAAACAGAGAAGAACGAAAGGCGAAACAACCCCCUCGCACCGCCCAGAAGACGUUUCCGAGCUACUCGUGCACGGCGGGCGACUCAAGACUCCAUAGAUGCUUCGAUUUCACCAGCGUUGUGUCGUUUCGCGGCUCUCGUCUUUUGGCUUUCUGGUUUUCACAUUUCCACGCGAUCUCUUCUGUUUGCGGCGUCACAAGCACAGCUUGUGUGGCAGGGGUCGAGUGCCCUACAAGAAAAAGCAAGAUCCGCAAUGUGUAGGGAGAGUUUUUUCCGUGCGACCUGAUGGAACGGUUUCCGAUUCCGAUUGAUGUUUGUCCCAUGAACCUUCAGACUUGUUUACGCUGCAGACGCUUGCGGUUAGUCACUGCAAGAGCAUUGCUGGCGAAAGGGGCUGUUCUGGAAAAUACACUGGCGUCCAGGCUAAGAUCUUUGGCUAUUUUCUGGAGCGACUUGUCGCGACGCGGUUGUUGGAACAGUGUGGAUUCAGGACAUCCUGCAUGUUCCGGUCGUGUGUCCGUGGUAAUCGACAUUCAUUGCGAAAUGUGGAGAUACCCUUCAAGCAGAAGCUAAUGAUGAUACGC